GAAAGAAAAUAACCAUUUUAACCAUUUUAUUUUAGUAUAGAGAAAGGACCAAUCUGAAAUCUCCACCUCCACUAUUAACAGGACUCUGUGUCACAAUAACUGUUAGAGGCAUCCAAAAACAGCCACAAGGUCAUCCGUUAUUGUUGGUCAAAAGCCACAGCCCUACCUGAGGCUUUGAGAGAUGUGAACACCAAUAACUUUUCUUUUCCUGACUCCCUAAAUACCAAGAAAAGCAACUUCCUCAAAUGGUCAGAAAUAGAAAGUCACCAUGGGUAGUCACAGAAGACAGGUUCCAGCCUGGAGUGAGAGAUGGGCCGGGGCUCAAUGCCCAUCAAGUGCCUCUCAUCCACGGUCCUCACCCACACCCUCUCUUACAGAUACUGAACCAAGUUGGGUAGGGACUGUGAAGGGGCACUCCUAAGGCCACACAGCUCCAUAAGGAUGAGCAAGGUCUCUGUUCUUCUGUCUCUUCAGUCCCUACUUUGUCCACCACAAAAAAAAAAAAAAAAAUGGUAUUUGGAGGAAAAGGAGAAGAAAGGUAGAAACAGCCAGGAGAUGGCUAGGGUUGGGAGAAGGGAUAGAACUGCUCUGGAAUAAGGAAUCAAGUAGCAAGAAUGAUACAGUGUGUGCCAGAUGGGAAAGUUGGAUUAGGAGAGCACUUUGAAAGGUAAAGAAAACUGCUGGAGAAUUUAUGGGGCGUUUGACUUUUUCCAUAUGCAGAGUGUUCUUAAAACUAAAACUGGAAAAAAGCUGAAACAGAAUCUCACAGAUCUGGAGCCUGGGAAACUGGAGCAUCCCACAAAGACUACUUGGUCCCAUCCUGCAUCCCCUCAGAGAUGGGCACUCUUUUCUACCAGCAGCUGUGACCCAGAUGUUGACCUCGCAUGCUUUCACCCCUCCAACACCGAGUUCUGCUUGUGUCCCUGUUCCCACAGAGCUGACCGCCAGGCAGCUCUCAAGAGCAUCUGGCAUCUAUUGGACAGAACUCAGAAUGAGAGCCACCCAGAAACUUUCCCAAGUUGCUGGAAGACCCCCAAAGGGUGCCUCUUCACUCAGAACGGCUCCUGAUUGCAUACCACUUUAUACGGUUCUUCUGUGGCUUCAUUUAAAAAUAUGCCUAUUUGUAAUGGCUCUCUUUCCUUUCACUGCUCAUGUUUUCAGAGCGUAGUCUACGUGGUCUCUACUUCCUCAUCUUACAUUUAUUUCUCAGUGCCCUCAAAGAAGGUCACCAGGAAAACCCCAAGUGCCAAAUUCAAUGUUCUCGUUUUCUUACCUCACUGCCACGUUUGAUGUUACCUUUCCUUGAAAAUCCCCCCCUCCCCACCUCUGAGUCUCCUCCAUCUCUAACCACUGUUGAGC
rnacentral:lncRNA from 1 species